rnacentral:lncRNA from 1 species
GAAAAUAUCUGCUCUAAAGGAUUACAAGACGUGCCGCGGGUCAGUCUAUUGCACUCGAGUUCGUCAGAGCUCUUCAGCUUCCUGCGGCCAUCCACAGUGGCUACUGCUGUGACUGUGUAUUACGGUAGUCAAGCAUCUUCUUCGAAAUGCAUUUCGUGGGUAACCUAAAAAUCGCACGUUUGACGUUGAGCCGCUAAUUUACAAUCGUGCAAGAUGUAUUUAUCUAUCCCAGGUUCGGCCUAAUGCCCUGUUUUACACUAUAGAUCACAUGGCUUCUGGUACUUUUAUUUUUCGCGCGAGCAAUCGGCCCUUCUGUCGAGUCGUGAUCGCGUGGAGGCCGCGCCGGCGACUCUUGGGGUAGCUUCCAGCAUGUUUGUUUCCUUAAAGUAACGCGUCUUCACGUUCUCCCCACUGAGUGGAACUUCCCUGCAGGCGGUCGUGAAAUUUCAUUUUCCCGCCAGCGAGGACGUGCACCCAGUGCGCAAACUGUCGCGUUAGGCGCGUACGAAGUUUGAUAGGCUGACCUGACUGAUCGACAAUCGCAAUGCCCGCGUCGUUUGAAUACUUCUGGUCAUGCCUGUCGAGUUCCCUGUAUAUAGUUAGCUCGCGCGACACUGCACGCAGGCACAAUACUUUCUUCCGAGAGUUGAACCGAGAGAGAUGCAGUUUUUUCAAUACCCCGGUGCUGCCAAGAGGACUACUUUCACUCGCUUGAGCAUGUUAUUCCCAGACUUCGAGUUGGUGUGCGCUGAGGUUUUCGGAGAGCUCGGUCUUUCAGGCUUCUAGGUUGGCGUGCCGCGGCUAUAAAACUGUUUCACAUGACUUGGAGCCAGUUUACAAAGCUUGGCUCUUGAUAAAGGUCACACGAAUGCAACGUGGUACACGCUUCUGUACACCUGCAGCACCCGUAUGCGUGAGAUACUGUCAAUGCCACUAUCGUUCCCACAAAAUAGAAACACCUCAUCUAUUUUGUACAGCGUACUUUCCGGGCUUGCUGGGGAAUCCCCCGGUCGCUGGAUCAUAACAGCGUGCACAGCAGGCUUUUGGUGAUUGCUUGCGGAAGCAAAUUGGUGUCAGUUGCUGUCAAAAGAUACAUAUUUGAGGGUCCUGGGUGCCUUAGCUCGCUAAUGCGGGUUACAGCAGCAUCCAGCUUUCCCACGCGCUCUUCUUGCAAUGCACAUUCACCGGACAGAAUGCCGGACGACGGGAGGAGCGCUGUCCAGGUUGCCGGCCAGUUGCGUCCCCGAAGUGCGGGGAGUGUGGAAGAACUGCAAGAGCGCCAGAAAAUGGGUGCACGGCGAGGGUUGGCUGAAUGAACAACGCCAGAAGGAAAUAAAAGUUCUGUCGAAGAUAUCGAGAGGCGUGGCUGCGAGCGAGUGCCGUUUUUGUUGUGGUCGAGCUGGUGGUGCGGCACUUCCAUUUUUGCUACGUGAUUUGGGCCGUAUGUACACUGCCGCUGCGGUCUCGACUGCACUGAAAAACUAACACUGCUCGAGCUCGCGAAAAAAUUUGCCCCAGUCAAAUGCCGCAGUGGUUUUGCUUCCACCAGUUACCAUUCUGCCCCUUCUGAAGGAAUGCGGUGUAGCGGGUACGGGCGUUUCGAUCUUUU